GAUGAACGCUGGCGGCGUGCUUAAUACAUGCAAGUCGAACGAAGAGCGAUGGAAGUUUGCUUCUUUCAAUUUUAGUGGCGAACGGGUGAGUCACGCGUAAUCAACCUGCACUUCAGUGGGGGACAAUAGUUGGAACCGACCGCUAAUAGCGCAUACGAUUUAAUCUCGGCAUUGAGGAUAGAAGAACGGUGGCGCUUACACGUAAGCAUUCACUGACGGUGGGGAUUGCGGCUGAUUAGCUAGUUGGGGAGGUAACGGACGACCAAAGCGAUGCUCACUAGGCCGUCUUAGAGGAUUAACGGCCACAUUUGGACCUGGACACGGCCCAAACUCCUUCCGGAAGCAGCAGUGAGGAAUCUUCCGCAAUGGACGGAAGGCUGACGGAGCAACGCCGCGGUAAUGAUGACGGCUCUCGGGUUGGAAAGAUCCGGUAAUCAGGACAAAACGCAUUCUUGCGAAUAUUGGCAAGGAUUGACGGUACCGGAAUAGAAAGCCACGGCUAACUACGUG
rnacentral:rRNA from 1 species